GCCGCGGUGGUGAAAUUGGCAAACACGCUAGGCUUAGGACCUAGUCUCCAAUUAUAUGGAGUUGAGAGUUCGAAUCUCUCCCGCGGCACCA
rnacentral:tRNA from 5 species